GCGAAGGCUGGUUAGAGGGAGUCCUCCCACUAAGCGGAAGGGAGGCCUCCCAGAUAAGCUAUGGAUUAAGCCAUAUGGAGAGGGUGAGCAGGAAUUUUGCUGGAGACAAGGGCCUUUCAGACAAAGUGAGCAAUGGAUGCAGAGACACAGAAGCAGCACAAGCCUGAGAAAAACUUUGUGUCAUGUUGUGAAUGCAACAUGUGCGACAGCAUUCCUGCUGAGGAAAUAUCUCCUAUGAUGGGGACCUGGUCUGUUUUAAAGUGAGUUGCCUACUAACAUCUUCCAAAUUCACACUCCCUGCAAUGACAGCACCUCUGAUUCCAGCACUAGGCCUCUAUCUGCACACCGACAUGAACCAUAAAACAUGUACUGAAGGUGCUGGAAGGUGUGGGGCUAGAGAGUGUUGAGGAUAGAAGAUUUUGGAAUGCAGUAAAAAUUCUAUUGGAAAGUUCAAGAUGGCAGAUGAAAAAGAGGACUUUGGAAGAACUUGGAGGUCUUUGCUUUGGGAAAGGGGAAGAGAGGAGAAAUAAUAAAGAUGGGGACA